rnacentral:rRNA from 1 species
CCUACGGGUGGCAGCAGUGGGGGAUAUUUGGCAAUGGGCGCAAGCCUGACCCAGCAACGCCGCGUGAAGGAAGAAGGCUCUCGGGUUGUAAACUUCUUUUACGAGGGAAGAGCAGAAGACGGUACCUCUUGAUUAAGCCACGGCUAACUACGUGCCAGCAGCCGCGGUAUUACGGAGGUGGCAAGCGUUGUCCGGAUGUACUGGGUGUAAAGGGCGUGUAGCCGGGCUGACAAGUCAGAUGUGAAAGCCCGUGGCUCAACAACGGAAGUGCAUUUGAAACUGUCGGUCUUGAGUCUCGGAGAGGCAGGAGGAAUUCCUAGUGUAGCGGUGAAAUGCGUAGAUAUUAGGAGGAACACCAGUGGCGAAGGCGGCCUGCUGGACGACAACUGACGGUGAGGCGCGAAAGCGUGGGGAGCAAACAGGAUUAGAUACCCCAGUAGUC